CAGGCUGGCCCAGGAGGUGCUGGGCUGCCAGGCCAAGCUGCUCUCUGGUGGCCUGGGCGGUCCCAACAGAGACCUCGUCCUGCAGCACCUGGUCACUGGACAUCCCCUGCUCAUCCCCUACGACGAGGACUUCAACCAUGAGCCGUGUCAGAGGAAGGGCCACAAGGCACACUGGGCGGGGUCCUGCUGGGUGUUCGGGCUGUGCCCAGUCUCGGCUACACUGAGGACCCUGAGCUGCCGGGCCUGUUCCACCCAGUGCUGGGCACGCCCUGCCAACCACCAUCCCUGCCAGAGGAGGGCUCCCCGGGAGCUGUCUACCUGCUGUCCAAGCAGGGCAAGAGUUGGCACUAUCAGCUGUGGGACUACGACCAGGUCCGGGAGAGCAACCUGCAGCUGACGGACUUCUCGCCCUCACGGGCCACUGACGGCCGGGUGUACGUGGUGCCCGUGGGUGGGGUACGGGCUGGCCUCUGUGGCCAGGCCCUGCUCCUCACACCACAGGACUGCAGCCAUUAGCUGCGGCUGCGGUCUCAGGCUGCAGCCUAGCUCGGUAACCAUUUGAAGUGUGCCUACACUUCUCCCACUGUGUGAUGGCGACAAGAUUGAAGCUAGGUCUCAGGGGUCUCCAGUCCUCCUUCAUCAGGGCCACCCCCUGCAGUAUUGAGCACCAGCUGGUCCCUCUAGGGAGAGAUUGACAACAGCCCGGACCCUGCGGCCUGCCUAUUCCAUCUGAAUGUCGCAUCGUCUGUUUCUCACUAGGGGCCGCCUCUGUCAUCUCACUAGACAUUUGAGGAACCUCCUGCCUGGGCCCUCUGCUUCUCACAGGACAGGGACACUGAACUGCGUCAGCCUCAGCUCACCCCUCCUUAGCCCAAGGUCUUCCUCAUGCUUGCCACCUACUAGUCAUACUGGCCUUUUAGAUCCCUGAAGUGUUGUUCAAAUCCCCGGAUCAUUGAGUCCCACCCCCAGCCCUCUGCUGCGGAUCACUCCUUAACUUUUCCAUUGGGGCUCAGGUAUCACUACCUCAGGGAAGAGUCCUGCAGCCCCAGUCAAGACACCCCUCCCCCACCUCAUGUCUUCACAGUUUUAAAGCCCAUCUGGGAGCAGUUACCUGUGCCAGCCCCUCUACCUGUGUUAGCAGAUCUGGCAACCCUGUAAGGGGGGUGCUAGAUGGACCCGAUUUGACAGAUGGCAAGACUGAGGCCUGGAGAAGUGGAAUCACUGGCCUGAGGUCACAUGACUAGCACAUGGCAAGGUCAGGAUUCAAGCUAGGUAGUCAGUAUCUCAGCCAGGCUGUCUCCUGGCUCCCUGAACAUUAUGGUGCUGACCACAAACUUUCCUGUCCACUUAUACAAACUUCUAGUGAGUGUGUGUGAUUACUAGCUUCAUGAAUACCUGACCCCUCCACUCUGAAGGAGGAACAGGCCUGUCUGGAUCACUUCUCUGUCCCUAACUGAGCCCAUCUCAUUUAGGGAAACUACAGAGCACUGUUGCUUUUUUUUUUUUUAGAUGGAGUCUCGUUCUGUCGUCCAGGCUGGAGUGCGGUGGCGUGAUCUCAGCUCACUCCAGCCUCCACUUCCCAGGUUCAAGUGAUUCUCCUGCCUCAGCCCCCCAAGUAACUGGGAUUACAGGCAUGCACCACCAUGCCUGGCUAAUUUUUUGUAUUUUUAGUAGAGACGGGGCUUUGCCAUGUUGGCCAGGCUGGUCUCGAACUCCUGACCUUGAGUAAUCCACCCGCCUCGGCCUCCCAAAGUGCUGGGAUUACAGGUGUGAGCCACUGAGCCCGGCCACAGUGCAGUAUUUCUAACCAGUGAUCAGGGUAAAGAGGAUGCGUGUCCACCAUCCCAGCCCUGAUCAGCCUGUCUGUGCAUCCCCCAUCCCAGCCAGGGCUUGGAGCAGCCUUGCUCACCACUGUGUCCCCUGCAUUGUAACACAUCCAGGCACAAGAAUAG
rnacentral:lncRNA from 1 species